rnacentral:lncRNA from 1 species
AGUGUCUAUAGCAUCCUACAACUACCCACGCCUAGGUGAGAUGGAAGGAUCCACUUAUUGGCAUAUGGCAUGAUCCUGAUCAGGUACUUAAUAUGGGGAAGAGGACAUAUUUGUGUUUUUUCCACAGAAUGCUGCAGGAGCACACUAGCUGCCAGAAUGAUUCCUGUGACAUUCUGACCCAUAGGCUUGCUGAGUGCUCUGACGAUGGUGACAGGAAAGCUGUAUUGGUUUCCUCCAAGACGCCAUUACCUGCUGAGAGGCUGAACCUGUUCUCCUGACACUAUCCAGACAAUGCAAGGAG